CGCCGUCGUCCACCAACGCUGCUGCACGGCCGUCCAUCAACGCUGUCGCGUGGCUGUUGACACUUGCUAACACCACUUGAAUACUAGGUUGUCAUCUCCAGCAUGGCACUAGAGUGUACUAUGGUAGUUAUAAGCACACAGAUAAAUCCGCAAGCGCACGGAUACCGUUGUAGCUUUUACCCGGUUAAAGGUUUUAUCGUAUCCACAGGGAAACGGGAGAACUGAUUUACGCUCUAACUUAACCUAGAUAGAUAGAUAGGUGUAAAUAGGAAAGAUGGUAGAAUUGAAUAAGAACAAUAUUAAAGGUAAGAUAACAAUGGGUGAUAAUAUGGGAAUAG
rnacentral:lncRNA from 1 species